rnacentral:rRNA from 1 species
UUCCGGUUGAUCCUGCCGGACCCGACUGCUAUCAGAGUGAGAUUAAGCCAUGCGAGUUAACGUAGCAAUACGUGGCGCACGGCUCAGUAACACGUAGUCAACAUGCCCAGAGGACGUGGAUAACCUCGGGAAACUGAGUCUAAACCGCGAUAAGUGAGGAUUUCUGGAAUGGUUCCUGACUAAAAUCUAUAUGGCCUCUGGAUUGGACUGCGGCCGAUCAGGCUGUUGGUGAGGUAAUGGCCCACCAAACCUGUAACCGGUACGGGCUCUGAGAGGAGGAGCCCGGAGAUGGGCACUGAGACAAGGGCCCAGGCCCUAUGGGGCGCAGCAGGCGCGAAACCUCUGCAAUAGGCGAAAGCCUGACAGGGUUACUCUGAGUGACUUUCGCUAAGAAAGUCUUUUGGCACCUCUAAAAAGGGUGCAGAAUAAGGGGUGGGCAAGUCUGGUGUCAGCCGCCGCGGUAAUACCAGCACCCCGAGUGGUCGGGACGAUUAUUGGGCCUAAAGCAUCCGUAGCCGGUUCUGCAAGUCCCCCGUUAAAUCCAGCUGCUCAACAGAUGGGCCGCGGAGGAUACUACGGAGCUAGGAGGCAGGAGAGGCAAGCGGUACUCAGUGGGUAGGGGUAAAAUCCGUUGAUCCAUUGAAGACCACCAGUGGCGAAGGCGGCUUGCCAGGAUGCGCUCGACGGUGAGGGAUGAAAGCUGGGGGAGCAAACCGGAUUAGAUACCCGGGUAGUCCCAG